rnacentral:lncRNA from 1 species
GUUAUUAUAAAUAAGGAUUAGUGCUUAAUGAUUUAUAAAGCACACCAAUGCACUGCAAUAUAUUUCAUUUCAUAAUAGAAUACUACACAAAGCCAUUAUUCUUUCUAUUCUUUCCCUCAAUACUUAAAACUCCAUAAUUUUAACACAGUAUCAAAGCGGAACCAUCAUCUAUGACCUGUUCUGUAACUACCCUGCUACAUAGCCCCCUAAAAUUUAGUGUUUUACUUUAUUUUCAUGAUUCUUCCUUCAAAUGAAUUGUCUCACUUGCUGUGUUUCUUCUCUGACAUUUGGGCACCAUUGCCAUGUCUUGGUUGUGUUCUUCAUUCUGACCAUCUCUUUCACAGGUUUUGUCCACCGUUGUAAUAUCCUUGAUGUGCCCUAACACUUGUGUUUCUCUCCAGAACUCUCCUCUGACGUGAAUUUACUACCGUGUUUCACACAAUUUCAUGACCCUUGUUUCUCUCAAGAUUUUGAUAUCCUCCACUGUGCAUUUUUUCCAGCAUGUUUCAAACAAAUUCUAGCUCCAAGUUUUCUACAAGAAAUAAUCACCUGUCAUGCAUUUUAUAGCGUAUUUCAGAUAAAUUCUGGUCUCCGAGUUUCUUUCUGCGUUUAAAUCUCCACCAUGGAGCACUUUUGGCCUGUUUCAGAAAGAUUCCGCCUCUGAGCUUGAGUUCCAGCCUCUUAAGUUUCUGACAUGUUUCAGCCUUCUGCAAUUGACGCCACUACCAGGAAAUUUUUUUCCAGCAACAUCACUGCCAUCAAAACUGCUAUAUGUCAAUUUAUUAGUCCGCAAAAUCUUAGGACCAUCAAAGUUAAGAUGCACUCUCACAUGCUAUUAUUGGGCAUACAUGGUUUUCCAUGCAUCGCAGUCCUCCAUCACACGUGGCAAUGCAUCAUGUUCGACUUUGGUCUAUCUGACUCAUGCUUGAUGUGCAAUCCUCUGCUACACAUAGGAAUGCCUCAUGGCAAAUUUUGUUCUAUCUGACUCAUGCUUGAUGUGGCGCUACCUCAUCCUGAAU